CGAUCGCCAAGCCUGCUCUUGGUCACGCCGAUGUAGAGAAGUUGACAACUGGAACAGUGGAUGCAGUAGAUGAGGUUGGUGGAGGUGCAGGUGAACCUCUGCCUCAGCUGGAAAGACGGCUUGGGUUCUUGGAUGGAGUCAAGGGGGGAGGUAAAGUGACAAAUGUAGCAUUUCCUGCAGUUGCAAUGGAAGGUACCUGGGGAGGGAAAAAUUGACCAGGGAGUUACGGAGGGAGUCGAGGGGGCAGGUAAAGUGACAGGGAAUGGUAUGAUAUUUGAAUAUAUCAUCACAGAAAAAUGGUCAAAUGAAUUGAAUAAAUGUGAUCAUUUAUAACCGAUAUAUUCUCAACGAGCAACUACAAUCCCACACUAUCUUAUACAAUGUGAUAUUCCUUUGUAACUGUUGAUUCUACCAAUUUAUAUAUUUUUCUGACUUUGUUGUUACCAUGUGUUUGAUUAUGGUCACCCAUAAUCUGGUUGACAACUCAUGUCAGAAUAACAGAUCUAUGGUUCAUUUACUUUGCUUUCCUCCUUGUUUGAAUCACUGUGGUUACAAUGAGGAUUUUAUGUACAAUGAAGGUUUCUAAGUGGACCGGGUUGGCUGUGAGGGUUGCCAAUUCAUAUGAGUGGGGUGGUGUUGCAUACAAGGUUUGCUGAAUGCAAGGGAGCUAUUGACGUAAGGUUAUUUGUUGGAUGGAGUUAUGUAUACCCUUGCUUCUGUGUUUAUGUCCAUCUGUGCCUAUCCGCAAAUGUAUUUGAGUGAGCAUAGAGCAUAGCGUGCACUUUACAGUACAGUGUCCAAGUGUAGUAAUGGUGCAGUGAUACCAGCUCCAGCCUCCCAUUCGCUUGCAGCUUCCAUUUUGCCACAGAACGUCAGUUGUGCAGCUCCUGGUGUGGUAGCAUCAGUGAGUAAUCAAAAAUUGCAACAAUCACAUCAUAUUGAGAUAAUGAAUGUUUGAAGUCAGAUGGUUUGGGGAAUGACAAAGCAGGUUUUCACUAUCCACUGUAGACAUCAAUCCUCCUUUCAAUCCCUUCAGAUGAAACUCUUUUAUCAACAUUGAUAUAUUUUUCAGCCGGAUCCUAUUAAUUCAAGUGACACAGAAAGUCUUAAUAUGCAUACCUUAAUAAGCUAAUUAUAAAAGAUCUGACUUCUCUUCUGAUCCCCACAGCUUUCCCCAAGCUCUUUUUGAGAUGGGCAUUAAAAAUUUACUGCUGCAGUUUCUAUUUAAGUUUAUUUUCAGUCCGCAGUAUCAAUAGCAUCUGAAAUAUUUAUUAGAGUUGCACUGUAGUGAUUCCUGUGUGCAUUCUACCCACUACCUACAUGGAAUUAAAAGCAGCUUGUUAUCUGCUUUGUGAACAGCCGUUGAUUGGGUCAGUACAGCAAAGCUCCCGGUGAAGAUACAUAUAUUUAUCUGCUUCCCACACAUGCUCAUGCUACUGUGCUCUCACAGUGGUAGUUUGCUGAAAACUGAAAGAAAUCAUCAUAAUUCUCGAGAUGUGCUGCUGCACAACCUUUAAAGGCCUCUGCUCUCUGAUGCCACACUGGUGAAGAAGUUAGCAGGAACUUUCAAUGCUUCCACACGCAGGUCACAUAUUUUACCAUACUGCACAAAAACACUAACUAUUAGCUUCAGACAGGUGCAGAGAAGCAAAGUUUUGCAGCCAAGUUUUCCAGUCUAGAAUAAAUCAGAAGUCUUGCUUUUUAUAAAAUUUCAUGAUACAAAAUAUAUUAACAUUGUAAACGCUUCAAAAUCAUUGCAUAUCGUUUCUAACCCUAAUGAUGAAUUAAAAUGUUUGGAGAUACAAUGAAUUAAACUAUGGCAGACAAUGGACAGGUCAUAGGUUUCGAAUUGUGUAUAUUCUGCUGCUGAAUGCUCUAUGCAACAUCUGCAGCUGUAUAGCAGAAAGCAUACUGCCUGGCUACAUCACAUCUUGAUUAGGUAACAAUUGCUCAGAGCGAAGGAGAGAAAGGUCAUAAAGAGAAGUGUCAGAGAGGGGAGAAAAGGUAUGGAGGGGUGGAGAGAGGGAGAGAGGUAGAAAGAAAGAAUUGGAAUUGCUCAAACAGGAACUUACAAGCUAAAUUUCAAUUUUCCUGCUCCUCUGUCAUGGGAUUAAGAAAUGUAAUCUUUAACCUGACUUGAAUAGGUUUGGAAAUAAAUGUUAAUGAUAUUAACAAGUGAAAAAUCACAACAUUGAAUACUUAGUUUAAAAAAAUCUGGCAGACUGGUUCUUAUGCUGAAGAAGAUAAUUUUCUGUUAUUAAAUAAAUUAAAAAAUGACCAUUUUGUAUUUGGCUUAAUCUGCAGAAUCUGUUUAUUCUAAAUUGAAAAGAAAGCCAAAGUGUUAUUUUGUUGCGGAUUAUUAUUGAAAACUAAAAGGGUGUAACGUUUAAGAUUGACAACACCAGAAUUCUGAAGGAAUUAGUUUUAAGAUUUUGGCAAUUCCCAAAGGAAAGCCCUUCAAUCACUAUCUACCUUUUUGAAAUAAGAAAAACAA